GUGCGCUUCCCCCCCAGCCCCCUGCCUUGCUUCCCCGGGGAAAUGUGUGAUUUGUUUUGGUUUCCAAACCACUUCAUCCCGUUUCUCUUCCCUUAUCGCUGGUUUUCCGCAUCAAGACCCUCAUCUGCGAGGCACGGGGUGCCUGACUUCACGUUGCCUUCCUAAAUGUGCCCGGGAGCGCAGCCGGCACCCCGGCGGGAUGGGAAACUGGGGGAGCUCCGGCGCUUCCCACACAUCCCUCCCGUCGGACGCGGAAUCCUUCGGUUGCUGCUCCGCCACCGACUCGGACCCACUAGGAAGAAUUAUUCCACAGUAUCAGUCUGCCCGGUUUUUCACAGAGCUAACAAGGGAGCAUGCACAUGUGGCUAACUGCUACCAACUUUGGGCUGCCUUCUACUAGCACCCCAAAACCCCUCAAUUCCCCUUACCUCAGCCUCGAGGGAAUCAGGGCCAGGGGUCUCUGCAGUGGGCAGAUGGUAUGUGAGGGAGGGAUGGAGAGGUGCAGUUCACAGUCAGAGCUGUGGCACAGCUGGAAUAAACUGCAUUUGUCAGGAUUGUAGGAAAAAACUGGGGUGGAAGGGACUUCAGGAGAUACUUUGUAAUUUUUAAAAGUAUCUCUGUUAUUUAGAUACUUGUCGUUUCAAGUAAUCUAAACCCCCUAGACAUUAAGUUGUACUGAGAAUCAAUGGCAUGCAAGCUGUGAGAUGCUUGAAUUCACAGCAGUGAAAGGGAUGUUGGUUCUUCACACUCCUCCUCCUCCCCUUCCUCCCAUGGUAUGUCAAUCUAGCAGCCAUUAGCACUAUGUAGGGUGAGGAGAAGGAGCUUCUAUUGACCUCGUGUAAGUCCAUGAUCCAAGACAAGCUCUGCCUGAUGACUAAUUUCCUCUUUCUGCUGUGGCCAGGCUGCCCCAGAGCAGACAUUGCAAGGAUUUUCUUCAAGUGGAGAAAGCAGAGGUUGUGGAGAAAGUACUGGAGAAGAUGUGCCGAGUCCUGGUUCAGCACCGUAUCUGUGACAGCGGUGCUGCCUCCUCCGUUACCUCCCGUGUCCCAAGUGUCACUGUGGUUUGAUUUUCCUUUCCAGGAGGACUUUAGAUGA
rnacentral:lncRNA from 1 species